GGAGAGGUGCCGGAGUGGCCGAUCGGAACCGCCUUGAAAGCGGUCGUAGCGAGAGCUACCGCGGGUUCGAAUCCCGCCCUCUCUGCC
rnacentral:tRNA from 1 species